rnacentral:tRNA from 1 species
UCCUUGGUAGUCUAGUGGUUAAGACUCCACACUUCCACUGCAGGGUGUGUGGGUUCAAUCCCUGUUUGGGGAA